rnacentral:lncRNA from 1 species
GGGAGGGGGCGGGACGACACGCACUCCAAUGGUAUCACGUUCUUCUCCCCAUUCUCUAUAGUUUAGGCGCGCGCAUACACAUUUAGACUCAUAGAUUAAUUUUAGAUUCUAGAUCUGUAACACAAUAAGCUCAAAAUCAAAACAUAACAUAACCAAAAGAAGAACGGGAUUCAAAAGGGAAUUUCAUUAAAAAUGUUCUGGGUUCAAACUCUGUUGAUUGCUGUUGAUCUUCGCCGCUGAUUUAGUUCAUGGUUAAGCUCCAGAUUAGCCGCAGAGAUCCUUGCUGUUCAGAUUUUUGUUUUGAGGUUCUUUUGAUUAUUGGUGACUAGGUACACAUCCGCGAACUUGUACAAUUUAUAAUUUUAAUUCUAUCCUGUUUAAAUUGCAAUGCAUUUCUAAAAUCUAGAUCUAUUUUGAGUUUUAAAGGGUAUCGAUUUGGUUUUGUGCAACUUGAGCUAAUGGUGAAAAUCAGGAGAUUUGAAUAAGUUGAUGCAACCAUGUUUCAUGUGGAAUAGCUAUUUUCUUUUGGUUUGUUUGUUUGUAUUUGUGAAUUUGAGAAAAAUGACUAUGAAGUUGAAAUGUUAAUUGGCAUAGCUUGACAACUUCCCUUAGAUACUGAUUUUCGUCUUUCUUUAGUUUUGUUUUACAUGGAAUUUAUACAUCAGCUUUUCUCUUGUUUGGAUUCGUAAUCUCAAUUGUCUUGUUUUGUCUGGUACGUGAAAU